AUUGAACGCUGGCGGCAGGCUUAACACAUGCAAGUCGAACGAGUGGCGGACGGGUGAGUAAUGUCUGGGAAACUGCCUGAUGGAGGGUGAUAACUACUGGAAACGGUAGCUAAUACCGCAUACCAUCAGAUGUGCCCAGAUGGGAUUCGCGUGUUGGUGGGGUAACGGCUCACCAAGGCGACGAUCCCUAGCUGGUCUGAGAGGAUGACCAGCUACACUGGAACAGAGACACGGUCCAGCCUCGUACGGGAGGAAGAAGUGGGGAAUAGUGCAAAAUGGGCGCAAGCCUGAAGGAGCGAUGCCGCGUGUAUGAAGAAGGCCUUAGGGUUGUAAAGUACUUUCAGCGGGGAGGCGUUACCCGCAGAAGAAGCACCGGCUAACUCCGUGCCAGCAGCCGCGGUAAUAC
rnacentral:rRNA from 1 species